ACCCGGACGGGGGCGGGCGGCUGGGGCUGGGGCUGGCCUCCGAGCGGGGCUACAGCCCGCGUACCCACCCCCGCUUUCCCUGCCCCGCGACCCCGGGGCUGCCCUCCUCUCCCUUUCCCGCCCCCUGGGGACCAGCUCAGUGGCGUCUGCGCUGCUCCCCCGGCUGAGUGCCUCCGGCUGUAAACCCCAGCUUCUCCUGGUGGAGUCGGGAAAAUGGAGCUUCAGUGCUGAGCGAGCUUCCGUCUCCUCCCUCAGUGUUUCUGCCCCAGAUGAGCUGGCAGAUGUAGUGGCCUGGGCAAAGCUGAGGACACAGAUGCCAGCACCGUGCCACUCCCAGGCUGGCUCCAUUCCCGUCACCUGUCACCUCCUGCUGAGUCCCCAGGCGUCAGUCAAUGUCGGUACAUCGGUGCAACGAGGCACUGGUGACAUGUUUGCUCAGCAACUGCUUGGCUCUGAGUCUGCAGACCCACCAGAGAAUACCAGCUUGUUUUUGCCUUUUGAAGUCUGUCCUUGGGAUUUGGCGGAGUAGCUGGAUGUGUGCUUAGCCCAUAGUGGUUGACACUGUCACCAUUGUUUACCCAGAACCUCGUGUACCAGGCAUGGCUCCCGGCAUCAAAAUACAGCAGCGCAUUAAACCUCCCUCCUGGUGGGUCUGUCUGUUUUGGUACCGUAAGGGCUCAGCCAGCCUCUGAACGUCAGUGAGAUAACGCGGCCAGUGAGCUCGGGUCAAUGUAAGAAUUCCGGUGACUGAGUUAGAAGCAUGCUUCCAAGCUGUGCGUGUCCUCGGCAUCCAGAAGCGGAGCCUGGAAGCUUCCGAAUUUCUCCAGAAUGCAGUCUACAUUCACCUUCGGCAAACAUCACCAGGGCACAUGUGGGGUUUGUGCCUGCAGGCUGGAAUGCUGCUGGACUCCCUGAUCCAUCACCGUUAUGUCCUGGAGCUGCUCCGGUCAGUGAAUGAUUUUCUGUGGCUUCUAGGUAAUGUGGUCUGAGGCAGAUGAUCAGAUGUGUAGUUAAAUUACUAUUACUUGAAAUAAGAGUAACCUAGAAACAUGGCUCUAACAAUACAGUGUGAGGGAGAAUUGGCUGAGCUGCUUGCAGUGGGGAGUCUUAUCAGGUGACUCCUUCACCGUGAUACUUGCCAGUAUCCGCCCCAGCCCUGCACGGUAGUCCUGCCGAAGCAAGCAUGCUCUUUGCUCAGAAACGCACUGAAUUUCCUUGUGCCUCUGUUUGUUGGCUUGUUUUUUGAAAGCACGUCUUGCCCUUUGCUUAAAUGCCAUCCAUGGUAGUCACUUCUUACACU